AUUGAACGCUGGCGGCAGGCUUAACACAUGCAAGUCGGACGGUAGCACAGAGAGCUUGCUCUUGGGUGACGAGUGGCGGACGGGUGAGUAAUGUCUGGGGAUCUGCCCGAUAGAGGGGGAUAACCACUGGAAACGGUGGCUAAUACCGCAUAACGUCGCAAGACCAAAGAGGGGGACCUUCGGGCCUCUCACUAUCGGAUGAACCCAGAUGGGAUUAGCUAGUAGGCGGGGUAAUGGCCCACCUAGGCGACGAUCCCUAGCUGGUCUGAGAGGAUGACCAGCCACACUGGAGCUGAGACACGGUCCAGACUCCUACGGGAGGCAGCAGUGGGGAAUAUUGCACAAUGGGCGCAAGCCUGAUGCAGCCAUGCCACGUGUAUGAGGAAGGCCUUCGGGUUGUAAAGUACUUUCAGCGGGGAGGAAGGCGGUGAGGUUAAUAACCUCGCCGAUUGACGUUACCCGCAGAAGAAGCACCGGCUAACUCCGUGCCAGCAGCCGCCGUAA
rnacentral:rRNA from 1 species